rnacentral:rRNA from 1 species
CGUCCGCCCGGGUACUACGAGCAUCAGCUUGAAACCCAAAGGACCUGACGGUGCCUCAGACCCCCCUAGAGGAGCCUGUUCUAGAACCGAUAACCCCCGUUAAAGCCUCACCACUUCUAGCCUCCCCAGCCUAUAUACCGCCGUCGUCAGCUUACCCUGUGAAGNCAAU